UACAGAGGUCUCAAGCGUUGUUCGGAUUCAUUGGGCGUAAAGGGUGCGUAGGCGGCGCGGUAAGUCGGGUGUGAAAUUUCGAGGCUUAACUUCGAAACUGCAUUCGAUACUGCCGUGCUUGAGGACUGGAGAGGAGACUGGAAUUUACGGUGUAGCGGUGAAAUGCGUAGAUAUCGUAAGGAAGACCAGUGGCGAAGGCGGGUCUCUGGGCCGGUACUGACACUGGAGGAGCGAAAGCGUGGGUAGCAAACAGG
rnacentral:rRNA from 1 species